rnacentral:tRNA from 2 species
AGACUGAUUUUAUUUUUAAUUUUUCUAACUCAGUAAUUCUAGAUUUAAGUUGACGUGAAUUAGCUUUGGGAUAA